rnacentral:tRNA from 1 species
GAGGGUAUAGCCCAGUGGAAGAGUGCAGUGCUUGGCAUGCACGAAGUCCUGGGUUCAAUCCCUGGUACCUCCA